UACGCUUCUUUUUCCCCGGAGCUUGCUCCACCGGAAAAAGAAGAGUGGCGAACGGGUGAGUAACACGUGGGUAACCUGCCCAUCAGAAGGGGAUAACACUUGGAAACAGGUGCUAAUACCGUAUAACAAUCGAAACCGCAUGGUUUUGAUUUGAAAGGCGCUUUCGGGUGUCGCUGAUGGAUGGACCCGCGGUGCAUUAGCUAGUUGGUGAGGUAACGGCUCACCAAGGCCACGAUGCAUAGCCGACCUGAGAGGGUGAUCGGCCACAUUGGGACUGAGACACGGCCCAAACUCCUACGGGAGGCAGCAGUAGGGAAUCUUCGGCAAUGGACGAAAGUCUGACCGAGCAACGCCGCGUGAGUGAAGAAGGUUUUCGGAUCGUAAAACUCUGUUGUUAGAGAAGAACAAGGAUGAGAGUAACUGUUCAUCCCUUGACGGUAUCUAACCAGAAAGCCACGGCUAACUACGUGCCAGCAGCCGCGGUAAUACGUAGGUGGCAAGCGUUGUCCGGAUUUAUUGGGCGUAAAGCGAGCGCAGGCGGUUUCUUAAGUCUGAUGUGAAAGCCCCCGGCUCAACCGGGGAGGGUCAUUGGAAACUGGGAGACUUGAGUGCAGAAGAGGAGAGUGGAAUUCCAUGUGUAGCGGUGAAAUGCGUAGAUAUAUGGAGGAACACCAGUGGCGAAGGCGGCUCUCUGGUCUGUAACUGACGCUGAGGCUCGAAAGCGUGGGGAGCAAACAGGAUUAGAUACCCUGGUAGUCCACGCCGUAAACGAUGAGUGCUAAGUGUUGGAGGGUUUCCGCCCUUCAGUGCUGCAGCUAACGCAUUAAGCACUCCGCCUGGGGAGUACGACCGCAAGGUUGAAACUCAAAGGAAUUGACGGGGGCCCGCACAAGCGGUGGAGCAUGUGGUUUAAUUCGAAGCAACGCGAAGAACCUUACCAGGUCUUGACAUCCUUUGACCACUCUAGAGAUAGAGCUUCCCCCUUCGGGGGCAAAGUGACAGGUGGUGCAUGGUUGUCGUCAGCUCGUGUCGUGAGAUGUUGGGUUAAGUCCCGCAACGAGCGCAACCCUUAUUGUUAGUUGCCAUCAUUUAGUUGGGCACUCUAGCAAGACUGCCGGUGACAAACCGGAGGAAGGUGGGGAUGACGUCAAAUCAUCAUGCCCCUUAUGACCUGGGCUACACACGUGCUACAAUGGGAAGUACAACGAGUCGCGAAGUCGCGAGGCUAAGCUAAUCUCUUAAAGCUUCUCUCAGUUCGGAUUGUAGGCUGCAACUCGCCUACAUGAAGCCGGAAUCGCUAGUAAUCGCGGAUCAGCACGCCGCGGUGAAUACGUUCCCGGGCCUUGUACACACCGCCCGUCACACCACGAGAGUUUGUAACACCCGAAGUCGGUGAGGU
rnacentral:rRNA from 1 species